ACCGUACUCCUACGGGAGGCAGCAGUGGGGAAUUUUGGACAAUGGGGGCAACCCUGAUCCAGCAAUGCCGCGUGAGUGAAGAAGGCCUUCGGGUUGUAAAGCUCUUUUGUCAGGGAAGAAACGGUAGUAGCUAAUAUCUAUUACUAAUGACGGUACCUGAAGAAUAAGCACCGGCUAACUACGUGCCAGCAGCCGCGGUAAUACGUAGGGUGCAAGCGUUAAUCGGAAUUACUGGGCGUAAAGCGUGCGCAGGCGGUUGUGUAAGUCAGAUGUGAAAUCCCCGGGCUCAACCUGGGAAUUGCAUUUGAGACUGCACGUCUAGAGUGUGUCAGAGGGGGGUAGUAUUCCACGUGUAGCAGUGAAAUGCGUAGAUAUGUGGAGGAAUACCGAUGGCGAAGGCAGCCCCCUGGGAUAACUCUGACGCUCAUGCACGAAAGCGUGGGGAGCAAACGGGAUGAGAAACCCGAGUAGUCCUUGAC
rnacentral:rRNA from 1 species